rnacentral:sRNA from 1 species
UAGUCCUAGCACUUGGGGAGGCGGAGGCGGGCGGAUUGCUUGAGCUCGGGAGUUCGAGACCGGCCUGGCUGACAUGGUGAAACCCCGUCUCCACUAAAAAAAUGCAAGAAUUGGCCGGGCGUGGUGGCGCGCGCCUGCGGUCCCGGCUGUCGGAGGCUGAGGCGGGAGAAUCGUUUGAGCCCGGGAGGCGGAGAUUGCAGUGGGCCGAGAUCGCACCAUUGCACUCCAGUCUGGGCGA